AUAUGAAGGCGGGCUGGAACCUCUCGGGGUUACAGCCUUGCUGAAUUAUUCACCCUUGUCUUUUGCGUACUUCUUGUUUCCUUGGUGGGUUCGCCCACCACUAGGACAAACAUAAACCUUUUGUAAUUGCAAUCAGCGUCAGUAACAAAUUAAUAAUUACAACUUUCAACAACGGAUCUCUUGGUUCUGGCAUCGAUGAAGAACGCAGCGAAAUGCGAUAAGUAGUGUGAAUUGCAGAAUUCAGUGAAUCAUCGAAUCUUUGAACGCACAUUGCGCCCUUUGGUAUUCCAAAGGGCAUGCCUGUUCGAGCGUCAUUUGUACCCUCAAGCUUUGCUUGGUGUUGGGCGUCUUGUCUCUAGCUUUGCUGGAGACUCGCCUUAAAGUAAUUGGCAGCCGGCCUACUGGUUUCGGAGCGCAGCACAAGUCGCACUCUCUAUCAGCAAAGGUCUAGCAUCCAUUAAGCCUUUUUUUCAACUUUUGACCUCGGAUCAGGUAGGGAUACCCGCUGAACUUAAGC
rnacentral:rRNA from 1 species